CACGACGUAAUGCAUUAAUGGAAGUACAAAUGCCAGUGAUUAAGAACGCCGAAUGCAAAAUAGCUUAUUCCAAAUUUCCUAAUGCACCUGAUAUCACUGAUGGUAUAAUAUGCGCCGAACAUGCUCAGGGUGGAGAGGAUUCUUGUACGGCUGACCGCGGCGGAUCACUGCUGAUACAACAUGAAUUAACCUCGUAUUUAAUAGGUAUUGUGUCUUAUGUUUAUAAGUGCGGCACAGCUGGGUAUCCCAGCGUUUACACUAGGGUCACAUCGUACCUUGACUUCAUUCUCCAAGCGAUGCAAUAAUAUGAUAUUACUGUUCCAUAAAUAUCAUUGUGUAAAAAACGUAAAGUUGGAUUUUCUUAUUGUGGAGAUAAGAAACAGCUCAAAUUUACAUUGUUUUGUACGUUACAAAUUAUAGGCUUAAAAUGUACGAAAUGUAACUUUGAAACGACACUAAUUUUUUACGCACGAUAAACCUCCACGACUUAGGUAUGUAAAGAUGAUAAACGUAUAUUAAUUCUAUUAAUUUGGUAAUAAUAAACCAACUUUCUGAGAAGUUCUGUAAAUUUCGUUUCUUUUGUAUCAAGAGAAUAAUGGAAUAUUCCACUUAGAUCGUAUACUUCUUGUAUGUACGUACAAAAUUUUCCGGCUAAUCUGAAACACUUCAUAAGAUAGAGAGCUUCUGGAAAUUCGGACACAGAGAGUGCAUAAAAUACAAGAUAAGUCUCGUGUCUUUCAAAAUUAUUUUUUAUUCGCUAAAAACGUCCUGUGUACUCAUGCAAUCACAUGCAACCUCGAAACUUCACUUAUUUUUUAUCACUUUCCAAUUCAAUACACAGUUUCUGCAUUUUUGACUAUAUGUAAGAGAAAUUUCCAUUCAGCCAAAGGUGUACUUACAGAUUAUAGAUUCCUAUACGACUCUCAGUAAAAAUUUAUCCGCACUCCAGAUAGUUAAAACUUCUGUCGACCGUAUUGAUCCAUCUGCACUCUUCGUAUGACGUCAAUAUCUGUUCAGUGCUGCUGCGCAGGUUUCUUUGUGUUACGUCAAUUCGUUUGUGACCGUUGCGCGAGUAAUGGCGCUUUGCAAUGGUGAUUUGCAGGAAAACAGUGCAGGAUGCUGUGAUUCGUUUCUUGUGGUCGGAGGUUAUGUUUGAUGCCUAUAUUUAUCAAAGAUUUAAUGCACAUUAUGGAGAAAGUGUUUUGUCACGAAGUGUGUUUGAAUGGGCACAAAAGUUCAAAGAAGAUCGCACAAGUGUUAUGAAAAAACAGCUGGACGCCCGUCC